rnacentral:rRNA from 1 species
UACAGAGGGGGCAAGCGUUAAUCGGAAUUACUGGGCGUAAAGCGCGCGUAGGUGGUUUGUUAAGUUGGAUGUGAAAGCCCCGGGCUCAACCUGGGAACUGCAUCCAAAACUGGCAAGCUAGAGUACGGUAGAGGGUGGUGGAAUUUCCUGUGUAGCGGUGAAAUGCGUAGAUAUAGGAAGGAACACCAGUGGCGAAGGCGACCACCUGGACUGAUACUGACACUGAGGUGCGAAAGCGUGGGGAGCAAACAGG